GUGAGACAGGUGCAGCAUGGCCGUCGUCAGCUUGUGUUGUGAAAUGUUGGGUUAAGUCCCGCAACGAGCGCAACCCUUAUCCUUUGUUUCCAGCGGUUCGGCCGGGAACUCAAAGGAGACUGCCAGUGAUAAACUGGAGGAAGGUGGGGAUGACGUCAAGUCAUCAUGGCCCUUACGACCAGGGCUACACACGUGCUACAAUGGCAUAUACAAAGAGAAGCGACCUCGCGAGAGCAAGCGGACCUCAUAAAGUAUGUCGUAGUCCGGAUUGGAGUUUGCAACUCGACUCCAUGAAGUCGGAAUCGCUAGUAAUCGUAGAUCAGAAUGUUACGGUGAAUACGUUCCCGGGCCUUGUACACACCGCCCGUCACACCAUGGGAGUGGGUUUGCAAAAGAAGUAGGUAGCAUCUACUUUAUGGAGGGC
rnacentral:rRNA from 1 species